GAGUGGGGAGCUUCGGCUUUUAGCUUGGGCUGGGUAGUGGAGGGGGGAGGCCGGAAAUGAAAUGAGAAAUGGUUCGAAGAUUCAGGAGGAGAAGAAUUUUGGAGGGAAUACGACCAUUUGACAAGUACUAAUUGAGCAUCUAGUAGGUACCAGGCACUGUCCUAGGCACAGAGAAUAAUGGAAGUAAAGGCCUUUAUGGAGCUUGCAUUCUAGUGGGAGAGAAGAGACAACAAAGAAAUAAAAAUUUCAGAAAGUGAUAAGUGGAGUGAAGAAAAAUAAAACCAGGAAUAGGAUGACUUCAUAGAUGGCCAGGUAUUGCCCCUCAGAGGAGCCCUAUAAUCACAUACGCUAUGACAUGAAGGAAUAAGCCUAGCAAAUACCUCGGGAGGGGAGGGGAAACGGAUGGGAGUCUACCAAGCUGAAAGAACCUCGGCUGUACACGCAAAGGACCCGGAGGAGGAUGAGGAGGAUCUAGGCUACAUUCCUGCUGACCCUGACUCGGCCUUAACCAACUGAUGGAUUACCCCUGUCCUCGAGCGUUCUGACUGCCACAGCUUCAGUGGCUAUGCUGAGAAGCCGCCGCUUUUGUAUCCAAAGCGCUGCUGCCCCCAGCUGCACUGCUUGAACAAAUUGCACCGUGAGCAAGCAAAAGCUGCAGCCCAGGAGACUGCUGACGUGACCUCAGAAACGCACAGUCCAGUCCUAUUGCCCAAUGUUUUUGCUCAAGAGCUUUGCCUGUCAUAGCGUUUGGAUUUCUGGUCAUCUUGGUGACCAUAUUGGACCUUCCUUCUCCCUGCUCCCAUCAAGUUUUAAACAGAAACAUCUUUAACAACUCAUCAGUGACCAAUCAAUGAAUUCUAAGCUCUUGGGAGGCUCAGGCUCCUGCUGUUUCUCUCCUCUCCUUACCACAUUUUAUAACAAUUAAAAAAUUAGUCCAGCCACAAUCCGUUACCUGGUUGUACUCUAAGACAAGGAUUUGCCUUCCAAGGGCAGUUCCAAGACAGAAAUGAUUGGAAAAUUAUGUAUGAUUAACUCUCCCAGGAAUCAAAUGACCUCAGUAAAUAUUUUUUGAGACCAUUAGGCCCGAGGGAUGCAAAGACAUUAUCCCUGUCUUCUGUCCAGAGCUUUGGUUUUCUUCUCAAUAAACAAACCUAAGUUUUU